rnacentral:rRNA from 1 species
AGUGAACGCUGGCGGUAGGCCUAACACAUGCAAGUCGAACGGCAGCACAGUAAGAGCUUGCUCUUACGGGUGGCGAGUGGCGGACGGGUGAGGAAUACAUCGGAAUCUACUUUUUCGUGGGGGAUAACGUAGGGAAACUUACGCUAAUACCGCAUACGACCUACGGGUGAAAGCAGGGGAUCUUCGGACCUUUCGCGAUUGAAUGAGCCGAUGUCGGAUUAGCUAGUUGGCGGGGUAAAGGCCCACCAAGGCGACGAUCCGUAGCUGGUCUGAGAGGAUGAUCAGCCACACUGGAACUGAGACACGGUCCAGACUCCUACGGGAGGCAGCAGUGGGGAAUAUUGGACAAUGGGCGAAAGCCUGAUCCAGCCAUGCCGCGUGGGUGAAGAAGGCCUUCGGGUUGUAAAGCCCUUUUGUUGGGAAAGAAAAGCAGCAGGUUAAUACCCCGCUGUUCCGACGGUACCCAAAGAAUAAGCACCGGCUAACUUCGUG